UUGACAUAAUCUGUGCUAUUCUCUACGUCAAUAGUUAUUCGAUCCGUUGUCUACUUCAUUUACAACUGAACAAAAGCAAAGGAAUAGAAACUACUAGUCAAGGCACUGCUCUUAAGCCAUUUUCCAGUUGCAGUGCUGCCUAAUAAGAGGCUAGUGUUCCCAAGUCUGUGGUCUGUGUUCUCUUCCCAUCAUAAGCAUGCAUCAGUGUUAGCUGUGGUUUUGUCAGAUGAGACUGGCAUUAUGAUAUAUACCUUAUAAGCUGUAGCAAAAGGGGAAAAACAAACACAAAAGAAGGGGCAGGGGGAGGAGGAAUGGAGAGGGAGAGAGAGUUGUGACCAGCAGCCUUUCACAGCUGCUUUUUAAGGAAGCAUUUGUUGGGGAACUACUGUGAAGUUGCAUACUCCUUGUCUUUCAUUUAUGCUUUAGUAAUUCCUCCUCGCGCUCUCUUCCUCUUCUCUGAUGCAGAGAAGAUAAGUAAGCAGCACUCUCUGGAAACAUCCAGAACAGUAUCUACAGCAUGGGGGCUCAAGCAAAGUGGAUCUGGGCUGGAUAACUAAGGCCAUACUUGGGAAGAGGUGUAGCAGUGCCAAGCUGUGCUGUCAUCUCCAUCCAUUUUGUGACAGAGCACAGUUGGCAGUGACCCCACCAUUUUGGCUGGUAUCACUGUGUGUUCAGAAUCGUGAAAUUACCAGAAUACCACUAUAAAUUCUAUUACUAUCUGCAGGCUAAACUAACUGAUAAAAAGCAAGCUUACUAAAACUAAAAAAAAUGGUUUUCUAGGAGUAGAUCCUAGCUAAUAUUCCAAAUGGUGAUGGCCUAACAGGAACGCAUGCAGUCAGUAAUGCCCAGUAUGUUUAGCCUUACAGAAGUCCACAAUAUGGAAAGCACUGUUCUUCCAAAUUACCAAACAGUGUGUUCAGGCAAAAAGAACGUGGAGUUAUUUGCUCAGACAUAAAGCUUAUCAUUAUUGAGGUUAGGACUCCAUUCCAUUCUCUCCUAAAUUGUCUUAGGAUAAGCUAUACCAAAACCGAACCAUAUCAAGCACAACUCCCACAAGGCAUUUAGGUUCUUAUUGAUACAACACUGCGCGUCUCCAUAAAGGGAAUUUUACUGAGGUACUGUGUAGGAAAGGAAUUUGCAGGUGGCUCCGCACUGUUUCACACGUCCCUGGAUUAGAGAUAAUGAGGAAACAAGCAGUAGAAGCAAAAGCUUGAGCAAGGUCGAGAUAAAACUGGCUACAGUGUUAAAGAUGAGCUUUGGGGCAGUGGCUAAUUGCUGGCAGGCUCCAGGUACGUGUCUGAGGGUCUCUAACCAAUUGUAUGGCAGAUUCGGGCACGUGGACAGCGCAUGGGGCUACAGGGAAAGUAUAUGUAGUAGUGAAAAUGGGCAAUAAACGCCUUCUGUUCAAGAGCCAUCAGGAGUUCAUGUCUUGCAUCCCUUCAGUACUGUAUUGACCCCAAGCAAAGAUGGGAUGGAUCCUCCCAUCUUCCCCAUAUCAACGUUCUCCAUUAUAUUCAUCAAACAAUUUGUUAAGAACUUUGGUGUGAGAAGUUUAUUCACAGGAAUGUUCCUGUGAUAAGGCUUUAAUGAACCACUGUUUACAGUUUCCAGAUGCAAAUAAAUACCUACCACGCUAGAUUUUUCUUGUCCAAGUCCAGUGCUGAGAUUCUCAGUGGCCAUGUUAAAGGCUGCUUUAGACACCCAGUUGCCAGCUAUACCAUCCACCUAAAACUGAAAACAAAACAUCAGAUAAGCAAUUUUGGCAUGUGCAGCACAUUCUCAAGCAGCACUAUGACAUAAUGUGUAGGCUACAGCUAUAUUUGUUAUAUCUGAAAUCAAGCCUCAUGUUUAUUUGCAACAUCUGAUUAAAACAAUAAUAAUACUACAGCAUCUAUUUCUGAGUCAUUUGUCUUGGGUAAUUUAUUUACUGAGAGCAUGAGUCACACAGUUAGAAAUGAGUCAUUCUCUAACUUUAUAUUAAUCUUACCCUUAGCAUCACAGAAUUCCUCCUUACCCAUAAAUUGUUGCAUGCUUUGGUUCUUUUCACAAUGCCAGAAUGCUGGUUUAUAUAGAAUAUUUAGGUUAGCUGUUGGAACAAGUAUCUUCACUUUAUGUAAUGCCAUUCACCCAGAAAGAUCUUAUGAUGAUUUAUAAAUGUGUGUAUUUUCAAACGUGUAUGAAGAUUGAGUUUUUUGUAUUCUUUGUUGCACCCAUAUAUAUGGUAUGGUAUUCUCAUGGUAGCAUGAGAACACAUGGCAACUUUAUACAGGAGCACCUGAUUGGAACUGCAAGCAAAUCCUUCAGUCUUUUGAAACAGCACAGGGGAAAUUGAGAAACAUCAAGGUUUCACUGGCAAUGGAAUCUGGCCAUUUACGUCUCUGUUUUUGCAAAAUUGGGUUUACCUUCUGAGAGUCAGAUCAGCCAGAGCUUGGCAAAACUCACCAUUUUGGUGGAAACCUUUCAGUUUCCUCAGAUUAGCUGCGUGCAAACUCUGAGUAAGGAAGCCUGGCCUGUUUGAAAACUUCACUCAUCCUUGGCUGGAGCAUGUUGUGACAGCAUGAGGCAGAACAACAUCAAAUUAAGAACUCUACGUUGAACUACACUUGGAAAUUCUCUACCUGCACAAGUCCGGAUAUGCCCAAAGGAUAGGCACUGUGCAUCCUGAUAGACUACUAAAAUACAGGCUUUAGAAGAGUAAAAGGAAAAAAAAAGAGAUGACUUCACACAGAAACAGGAAAUGCCCUGGGUCAUUUUCUAUUGUCGAAGAACCAUUACUUUCAAGUGCUUUAGAGAUAAGUCACUGGUUGAGAAAUUUGUUUUCUAAAUGUGCCUUCUUUGCUUUCUAUCAUGUUGUAGGAUAACUGUGUCACUUAAUACUACACGUUUUACUUUUAUAUCUAAACUAAGAGGCUAGUAAAGAAAGCAAGGUUCCUCCUGGGCAAUUCAGGUUGUGGUCACGUUGUUUAGCUGUACCAAGCAGAAUAACAGCACUUCCAGAACAAGAAUUUAACCUAUGCCUGAAACAAUUCUGAGCACUUUUCUCCUCUCUUUCCAGGAAGCCCAAAUCCAACAUGUGAAGGUCAGUGGCGUGACUAUUCCACUCCAUCCACAUCUUCACAUGGGGUCAAGGAGAAGCCCAGAGUGCCCAACGCCAUGAUGACAUUCAGAGGAACAGUACGUAACGCCAGAGAACAGCACUAGCUUCUGAGGUCAAGACAGACAGGGGUGCUGCCAAGAAUAAAUGCAGCUAUGUCCUGGGUAUAAGAGCCAGACCGAUGAGUAAUACUACACUGAAAUACUGUAGUGGCUGCACUGUAACAUAUCCUGCUCCUUGGAUUUAGCCCGUCUUACAUAAGCAGUAAUCUUCUGGCCCCGGAACCUCAUCUUUUUGAGACACCUCAUAUUUUUGAGAUACUGCAGCAUCCAGUCUUGCAGCUUCUGCAUGAAACUAAUAAAUACGCAUAUAUCUUAAGAAAUAUCUUGGCAUUCAGCCAGUUUUACUACUUCUGCAUUGCACUGUUCUGGGUUUGUAUUGACCUCGUGCUCUAAUGUACUUCUUACUAAGUUUCUAGUAAAAUGACAGAACAACGGGUGAAA